rnacentral:tRNA from 1 species
GCCGAGGUGGCAGAGCGGACUAACGCGGCAGGCUCGAGACUUGUUUUCCCUGACGGGAUGCUUGGGUUCGAAUCCCAACCUCGGCG